rnacentral:rRNA from 1 species
GUACACAAAAAUGCACAUACUGUGAGCUCGAUGAGUAGGGCGGGACACGUGGUAUCCUGUCUGAAUAUGGGGGGACCAUCCUCCAAGGCUAAAUACUCCUGACUGACCGAUAGUGAACCAGUACCGUGAGGGAAAGGCGAAAAGAACCCCGGCGAGGGGAGUGAAAAAGAACCUGAAACCGUGUACGUACAAGCAGUGGGAGCCUCUUAAUGGGGUGACUGCGUACCUUUUGUAUAAUGGGUCAGCGACUUAUAUUCUGUAGCAAGGUUAACCGAAUAGGGGAGCCGAAGGGAAACCGAGUCUUAACUGGGCGUUAAGUUGCAGGGUAUAGACCCGAAACCCGGUGAUCUAGCCAUGGGCAGGUUGAAGGUUGGGUAACACUAACUGGAGGACCGAACCGACUAAUGUUGAAAAAUUAGCGGAUGACUUGUGGCUGGGGGUGAAAGGCCAAUCAAACCGGGAGAUAGCUGGUUCUCCCCGAAAGCUAUUUAGGUAGCGCCUCGUGAAUUCAUCUCCGGGGGUAGAGCACUGUUUCGGCAAGGGGGUCAUCCCGACUUACCAACCCGAUGCAAACUGCGAAUACCGGAGAAUGUUAUCACGGGAGACACACGGCGGGUGCUAACGUCCGUCGUGAAGAGGGAAACAACCCAGACCGCCAGCUAAGGUCCCAAAGUCAUGGUUAAGUGGGAAACGAUGUGGGAAGGCCCAGACAGCCAGGAUGUUGGCUUAG